rnacentral:rRNA from 1 species
GACGAACGCUGGCGGCGUGCUUAACACAUGCAAGUCGAACGGAAAGGCCCUGCUUUUGUGGGGUGCUCGAGUGGCGAACGGGUGAGUAACACGUGAGUAACCUGCCCUUGACCUUGGGAUAACUUCAGGAAACUGGGGCUCAUACCGGAUAGGAGCUCCUGCUGCAUGGGGGGGGUUGGAAAGUUUCGGCGGUUGGGGAUGGACUCGCGGGUUAUCCGCUUCUUGGGGGGGUAGUGGCUUACCACGGCUUUGACGGGUAGCCGGCGUGAGAGGGUGACCGGCCACAAUGGGACUGAGAUACGGCCCAGACUCGUACGGGAGGCAGCAGUGGGGAAUAUUGCACAAUGGGCGGAAGCCUGAUGCAGCAACGCCGCGUGCGGGAUAACGGCCUUCGAGUUGUAAACCGCUUUCGCCUGUGACGAAGCGUGAGUGACGGUAAUGGGUAAAGAAGCACCGGCUAACUACGUG